UCCGAUGAANCUNCCUUCAGGACGGGGACAACACUUGGAAACGACUGCUUAUACCCGAUAUGCCGAGAGGUGAAAUGUUUUUUCGCCUGAAGAUGAGCUCGCGUCUGAUUAGCUAGUUGCUGGUGUAAGGGACCACCAAGGCGACGAUCNGUAGCUGGUCUGUGAGGAUGAGCAGCCACACUUGGACUGAGACACGGCCGAGACUCCUACGGGACGCAGCAGUGGGGAAUUUUCCGCAAUGGUCGAAAGCCUGACGGAGCAAUACCGCGUGAGGGAGGAAGGUCUUUGGANUGUAAACCUCUUUUCUCAGGGAAGAAUAUUAACGGUACCUGAGGAAUAAGCACCGGCUAACUCCGUGCCGGCAGCCGCGGUAAUGCGGAGGGUGCAUGCGUUAUCCGGCCUUAUUGGGGGUAUUGAGUCCGUAGGUGGUCAUGCAAGUCUGCUGUCAAUGCCGACAGCUUAGCUGUGGAUCGGCGGUGGAAACUAGUGUGACUUGAGUAGGGUAGGGGUAGAGGCAAUUCCCAGUGUAGCGGUGAAANGCGUAGAUAUUGGGAAGDGUACUGGUAA
rnacentral:rRNA from 1 species